rnacentral:tRNA from 1 species
UGCGGGGUAGUGUAAUGGUAGCACAUCUCCCUCUGGAGGAGAUAGUUCUGGUUCGAGCCCAGACCCCGCAGCCA